rnacentral:misc_RNA from 1 species
CUCAGCGAAGCAAUUCUAUGUUAAUGCUGUAUGUGUAAUGUCAGCCAGUAGUAGGAUGGGCAAAAUUUCUACAGGAUUGUUGAUCUGUGAUUCCUGUGCAUAAGAUUUAUGGUUUCCCGAUCUGCAGGUUCCCAUAUAUUUUGNNNNNNNNGGCACAAACUCCUGUCCAGUAUUAUGCCUCUGAUGGGUUUUGAGCGCUGUAUAUGUAUUGAUAUAUUUUUUUUUUUUUAUAAUUUUCAUUUCAAAAGUGGCCAGAUUGAUUUAUUGUUUAAGCUCAACCAGGCAACUGUGAUUGCAAUUUUUAUUUUACAA